rnacentral:lncRNA from 1 species
GAGUAAUGAAUUCUUGUGGUUAGGCUUGUAAGUUUUUAACCUAUUUGAAAUGAAUACAGAUAAAGAGUUCAAAUCCAAAAAUCCAAUCUUUCAAUAUUGAAGAUGUAAAUUUGACUCAUGGAUGUCAUUUCUCCCUCUUCUGCAAGGAACGAGAAACACUAUAUUUAAGUAAAAUCUGCACCAAACGAACAUGAACAGAUGAAACUUAUAUGUAGUUUAUUAAGGAACAAAUGCAAUCUCCAAACUGCACUACAUUGACAGAAUGGAAAUGCCAACAAACUACACAUUAUUUCCAAAACACACAAAAUCAUCUACCAACAAUAACUCAAACCAAUCAAUUGGAUUCAACAAUAAAAUCGGCAACAAAAGGCAGGGAUCAAGUUUCAUCAACAGCAAACAAGAUAUUCUGAUCUUCCAACACCGGUUUAGACGACAUUGCCUCAGAACAAACUGCCUGUUUUCCACAGACGAAAGAAGAGAUGCAAUGUAAGUCCGAUAGGUACAAAAAUUGAAAUCUCAAUAUUAGUAGAAAGGCAACUCUGCCUAAGUACGGAUUGGAUAUGCAAACCGGACUGGUCCAGUAGGUGCAAAAUUGAUUUUUCAGAAUUUUAAACACUAGAGAAGAGAUGCAAGAAUUGAAACCUCAAUAUUAGUAGAAAGGUAACUCUGCCUAAGUACGGAUUGGAUAUGCAAACCGGACUGGUCCUGUAAUUGUAAACCAAGUUAUUAGUUAUUAGCUUCAGAUAUGUUGCCUCUAAUUUCUAAAUUAUGCUGUGACUUUCCAACUAUAUGAUACUCAAAAUGAAGUCCAACGAUCCAUGCUACUAAUUUAUAUCAAAGAGCUGAAGUUUUGUGAAACAAACCAUUCUAAAACGCAACUAGGUACUUUUCCUUGCUUUCUUCUCUUGAUCCCGCCAAGGAUUGAGAGCUUCUCUCAUGGCCUGAGCUUCAGGUGAACUCUCCCAAGCCAUCUUCUCUGACUCCAAAACUGCUACUUUAUCGUCUGCUCAAAUCCGAAAAAAACAUAAACAAAUAUGCUAAUAAUCAGUAGCAGAAGAGGCUCUACUGACUACAACCAGCAAAGAAAAACGAAUUGAAUAGAACACAGCAAGC